UCCUGGAGCUGGAGGUACAGAUGGU
rnacentral:piRNA from 1 species